rnacentral:rRNA from 1 species
UACGUAGGGUGCGAGCGUUAAUCGGAAUUACUGGGCGUAAAGCGUGCGCAGGCGGUGAUGUAAGACAGGUGUGAAAUCCCCGGGCUUAACCUGGGAACUGCAUUUGUGACUGCCCGGCUAGAGUGUGUCAGAGGGGGGUAGAAUUCCACGUGUAGCAGUGAAAUGCGUAGAUAUGUGGAGGAAUACCGAUGGCGAAGGCAGCCCCCUGGGAUAACACUGACGCUCAUGCACGAAAGCGUGGGGAGCAAACAGG